rnacentral:rRNA from 1 species
UGGGGAAUAUUGCGCAAUGGGCGGAAGCCUGACGCAGCGACGCCGCGUGGGGGAUGAAGGCCUUCGGGUUGUAAACCUCUUUCAGCAGGGACGAAGGUGACGUGUACCUGUAGAAGAAGCGCCGGCUAACUACGUGCCAGCAGCCGCGGUAAUACGUAGGGCGCGAGCGUUGUCCGGAAUUAUUGGGCGUAAAGAGCUCGUAGGCGGCUUGUCGCGUCUGCCGUGAAAGCCCGUGGCUUAACUGCGGGUCUGCGGUGGAUACGGGCAGGCUUGAGGCUGGUAGGGGCAAGUGGAAUUCCUGGUGUAGCGGUGAAAUGCGCAGAUAUCAGGAGGAACACCGGUGGCGAAGGCGGCUUGCUGGGCCAGUUCUGACGCUGAGGAGCGAGAGCGUGGGGAGCGAA